CUGCCUGAAGUGAAAGAGAAAGCUCUCGACAUUAGCACUCUGUUCCUACUUCAACUCCUUGGCGGCUCAGGCGGCUCCUUCAACAUUCAGAGCCUUCUGCCUCUCAUUCUCUUCUCCAGAAUUCUCGGCUAGAUUUAAAUUUAGUACACAGAUCAUGUGACUCACUGAUUAUGCUCAAGCUUCGUUUUUGUGUUUGUUUAUUGUGAAGUUUUUGUGUUUUAGCUACACUAUUAUUUUGAAUAGGAAAAUUUAACUCCCACAAAGUCCCUUCAUGACCCUUAAAUCCUUAUGUACAUUUUAUGUAUUUGUUUGAAAUGCUUUAAAUCUUAGUAUUUAAAAAAAAAUUAUGCCUCCAAAGAUAUCGAUGAAUUUAUUUGUGUAAAAAUAAAAAGAUGAAAUAAGA